UACGUAGGGGUCGAGCGUUGUCCGGACUUACUGGGCGUAAAGCGUGGGUAGGUGGCCACUGAUGUGCCGUGUGAAAGCGCCGCGCUUCUCGCGGCGAGGUCGCGGUAGACACAGUGGCUCGAGGCACGGAGAGGGGCGUAGAAUUCCCGGUGUAGUGGUGAAAUGCGUAGAGAUCGGGAAGAACAUCGGUGGCGAAAGCGCUCUACUGGACCGCAACUGACACUCAGGGACGAAAGCUAGGGGAGCGAAUGGG
rnacentral:rRNA from 1 species